CCCUUAGAUGUUCUGGGCCGCACGCGUGCUACACUGGGUGGAUCAGCGGGUCAGGUUGCGCGAAAGCGUUUCCUAAUCUUUAAAUCCGCUCGUGAUGGGGAUUGACGGUUGCAAUUUUCUGUCAUGAACGAGGAAUACCUUGUAAGCGCGGGUCAUCAUCCCGCGCUGAAUACGUCCCUGCCCUUUGUACACACCGCCCGUCGCUCCUACCGAUUGAGUGGUCCGGUGAGGCUUUGGGAUCUGAGCGGAAAGAGCGUUUCGCUGUUUCUGCUCGGAAAACUCAGUCGAACCUUAUCAUUUAGAGGAAGGAGAAGUCGUAACA
rnacentral:rRNA from 1 species